rnacentral:rRNA from 1 species
CCUACGGGAGGCAGCAGUGGGGAAUAUUGGGCAAUGGGCGCAAGCCUGACCCAGCAACGCCGCGUGAAGGAAGAAGGCUUUCGGGUUGUAAACUUCUUUUGUCAGGGACGAAGCAAGUGACGGUACCUGACGAAUAAGCCACGGCUAACUACGUGCCAGCAGCCGCGGUAAUACGGAGGUGGCAAGCGUUAUCCGGAUUUACUGGGUGUAAAGGGCGUGUAGGCGGGGAAGCAAGUCAGAUGUGAAAACCAAGGGCUCAACCUUAGGCCUGCAUUUGAAACUGUUAUUCUUGAGUGCUGGAGAGGCAAUCGGAAUUCCGUGUGUAGCGGUGAAAUGCGUAGAUAUACGGAGGAACACCAGUGGCGAAGGCGGAUUGCUGGACAGUAACUGACGCUGAGGCGCGAAAGCGUGGGGAGCAAACAGGAUUAGAUACCCCUGUAGUC